GAAGAUACAGCUCAAUGGUAGAGUUCGUGCUUAGCAUGCACAAGGUCCUGGGUUCAAGCCCCAGUACCUCCA
rfam:Camelus ferus unplaced genomic scaffold scaffold1428, whole genome shotgun sequence.